CGCCUCUGCCCUUCCUGGGCGUUUCCUCCCUAUGACUUUGUAGCCCGGUCUUCAUGGCCGGGCUUUCUUUUUGCGCGAU
rnacentral:sRNA from 16 species